CCUACGGGAGGCAGCAGUGGGGAAUCUUGCGCAAUGGGCGAAAGCCUGACGCAGCCAUGCCGCGUGAAUGAUGAAGGUCUUAGGAUUGUAAAAUUCUUUCACCGGGGACGAUAAUGACGGUACCCGGAGAAGAAGCCCCGGCUAACUUCGUGCCAGCAGCCGCGGUAAUACGAAGGGGGCUAGCGUUGCUCGGAAUUACUGGGCGUAAAGGGAGCGUAGGCGGAUAGUUUAGUCAGAGGUGAAAGCCCAGGGCUCAACCUUGGAAUUGCCUUUGAUACUGGCUAUCUUGAGUACGGAAGAGGUAUGUGGAACUCCGAGUGUAGAGGUGAAAUUCGUAGAUAUUCGGAAGAACACCAGUGGCGAAGGCGACAUACUGGUCCGUUACUGACGCUGAGGCUCGAAAGCGUGGGGAGCAAACAGGAUUAGAUACCCUGGUAGUCCACGCUGUAAACGAUGAGUGCUAGUUGUCGGCAGGCAUGCCUGUCGGUGACGCNGCUACGACAUAAGCACUCCGCCGUGGGAGGUACGGUCGCGAGAUUAAACUACAAGAAGUAGACGCGNGAGAGUGCGACGACGACGACGAGGGAGUAGG
rnacentral:rRNA from 1 species